CUGAGCUCACCGAGCCUGCGGCCGGUUCAAGAGAACAGAAAACAGAAAUGUGACGGCAUGUUGCCUCUGAGAUUAACGGCUUCCAAACUGGACAUCUGAAUCAUUAGCCGCAGGGGAAGCCAGCUGCCAUGUCCAGACAGUCUUCUGGAGAAGCCUAUCCGGUGAGGAACUGGAGCGGCCAACGACCAUGUGGAUUGAAUGAAACCUUUGUUAAGUACUUCGUGCUUGAGGAUUUAAUGCAAGCAAGCCAUGCUGAAUGGAUUACUGAACAGAUCUCCUGAUUCUGGGCCCAGGAAAAUAUUGAGGUCAUGAAGUCUGUGAUUCCAAUGGCAGAAGUUUCAGCCUCCAAUCUAUAGUACCCAGGUAUGUGGUUAGAGAGUGUAACACAACAGGGCAUGGUGGAGACUGGGGCAGAGCUCGAGUCCACCUUGUUUUUAAAGGAGACAGCCAUUUCUCAGUUUGGUUGAAUUAUUUCCACAGGGAACCAGGCCCAGGGCUGAUUUUUUUUUUUUAAGGUGAAUCUGAAAACCCUAGAAUUUAUAGAGAAUAUCCCAUUUUUUAAAUGUUGGCAAUGAAAUAAGAUUGUGUGCGUGCAAAACAAAGCUUGUCCAUCGGCUGCAUCGGCCCUGUGGCUCUCAAGUUUAUAACCCACCCUUGUCCCAGGGCCUGUUUAAAAGCAAGACACACUAACCAGAGAGUCUGCAUAUAUUAACUCAGUUUAAUCAUAUCAAUUCUUAAACAAAAAAUUUCCUCCAAGAGACAAUAGUUCACAGUAACUGCAAAGCUUACUCACAAUUUUUAAAAAUACCAGUCAUGCUUAGCAUUCAAAGAAGAUAUGGUAGGAUAACCGUAAAAACAUUUACCAGGAACAUCAGCUUCUGACUUUAAAAAUUACAAAUACUGAAGCAUUUUGGUAUCAGACACGGUAGGUUUGACGUCGUCUGUUCCUUUUGACGAGUUUCUGGAAGUUUGGAAAAUUGUUCCUUCUAAUUGGAGAAAGCGCUUACUCUAAACUAAACAUUUUCAAAUGUAGAAAACAAACUAGCAAGCUACACAUACAAAGAAAAGCCCUCGAGGACAAGCCCUCCACGCUCUGACUGCCAGGCUGCGGACGCGCCAGGGAUCCUGGAAGACUAGAAUCGGUAACCUACACUUGGCCUGAAGUCUAACACAACUCCAGGGUGGACAACGGAGUCGCCUUCGCCUACACAUUAAUGACAAACUCUGGGUUAGUAUAGGAGAAGCCCGCAAAUUCAUUUUGGUCCAAGUUCAUGAUGAAGAGUUUAUCAGUAGGCGUGAGUUCCACAGGCUGUCUGGUGAACUCUUUGUCGAAGUUGGAGGUGUCUCGCUUGUCUCUCUGCCAAAUGGAAAGCAAACACAUUAACACAGCGGAAGAAGGAAGCGCGACCCACACCUGCCAGUUAGCGGCAAGCCGAAGGCCCCUGACGGGCCGAGGCAGAACGAGCCCCGUGCGGAGCUGUUCGGCAGGUGCUGUGUGCCUACCAUCCCCUGCCUUUCACCUCACGUUGACUGUUGGCUUCGGGAGAGAACACUUGGUGGCGGUUGCCUAAGAAAGGAAACGAAACAUUGAAUUUCUUGAAGGAUUGUCAUAACGUGGACUGGGCGUGUGUGGGGGAGGCGUGUUUCUGUUUUCUUUGGCUUUGAGAUGAACUGAGCUGGAAACUACUUCUUACCAGUGGAAAACGUCAUAGAAUAGGUGGAGCAUCCCGGAGGAAAGCAUCCCACAGCGACCCCUGUGGCGAGGAGGCGCCUUUUCUUUAAAAAGGAGCAGGGGCACAGCCGCUCAAGGCGCCCAGGAGGUGGAGGGAGUGGCAUGGAGGGGGGCAUCGGAUCGUUGCCUGACGAAAGGAGCGGAUCCCUGUCCGUCCCACAUUCCCUGGUGCCAACUAGGCUCUGAAGGGAUGUUCAGAAAUCCACCCACAGACUAGAAUUUGGGUCUUCAUCAGCCACAGGCGGUCUCCAAGGAUGGUUACAGCAUAGCGUGCAUCUAGUCAACAAGCUCUAAGAAACCAAACCCAAAGCUUAAAGUGAGGUCUCUAGGGGCAGCCUUACAACAAAAAUUCUAUUCUCCUGGUUAGCCUGACAUUUCUGUGUCGGGUUGGGGGUCCCAGGCUGCUAACUACAGUUUGGGGCAACCGUUUCCAGGGAAUGGCAGAGUGUGGGCUCAGAGAAACACCUCACGUCUGUAUGAUGUUCUCACCUGCUCAGGGUCCUGCAGACUCUCCUUCCUUCCCAUCCUCACCCCCCAGCUGAGGGCAGGAGGAGAUGGGGUCCUCACUGUCUCCCCCCCUAGCCCCCCCAUGGUUUGACACAGGAGAAGACGGGUGCAGGAAGAUACAGUGACUUGCCCAAGGCUGCACAGUGCAGUAGGGAUCUCUACCUGACCACGCUGCUCUUAAUUAAGGCUAACCUCAGUGCCUUUGAUAGGGGGUGUGUGUGCGGGGAGACCGUCUGAUGGCUGGUUUAGUAGAGGAUGGCUGAGGAGAACGCCUGGCUCGGCCUCACUGAAGCCAGAGCUGGGUCAGACUGUAAAGCAGGGAGGCUCGGUGAGUACGGACUGAUUUGCUGGAGUCCAGCCAAUUGCCAUUCAUGCCUUAGGUUUAGCUCCUACUGGGUGCUGACUGGUAGGGUUUCUCAUCGCGGGGCUCAUUCGCCUUUGCCAAGUACCUCCCACAAGAAUCCCGUCGUUCAGGCUGCUCCCUCGAGAUAGGUAAAAUGUCUCUAUGGAGUUGCCACUUAAUUGUGUGGCGUGUGCUGGGGUGUGGGAGUCCGGGGCGGGGGUGGGGGCGGGGAUUAGCGUUGCCAGACUGCAGUGGGCUCAAGAUGCAGAUGGAGCUGUUUUCUAGGUGGUGGGCCCUCUCAUGCCCGUGCAUUCUGCUUUAUCUUCUCCUGCCCACUGUCAGCCUGUCCUGUGCUGUCCCCUGUACUCAGAGAAAAGCUCAAACACCACCCCUUCCUUUAAUAUUGCCCGUGCAUCCCUCCCUGGACCCUACAAGUCAUACGUUAGCAUCCUUUUCAUUGUCUUCGUGGUACCUACGUACUAUCAGACAUUGUCUUAUUUACUGCCUCUCUCCAGGCAGGGAGGGGCCGUACCUGUUUCUUCACUAUUGUAUUUCCUGGGCCUAGAAUAAUGCUUGGCACACCGCGGGCUGUCCGUGACUAUUUGCUGAAUGACUCAAUGAAUGGAGAUCGACUAAGGAUGAGCCUCAGAGCCUCAUAGCCUCUUGCCUUUUCUUCCAACAUAUACUUGUCCUGGGGCUGGAGACCCCACCACUCUCCAGCAAAGCAGUGAAAUUGCUGCUGUUGACUCUCUGGCUCUCUCACAUCGGCUUCUGUCUACUUUGAGCCCCAGUAGGGACCGAAAUGUUAGGCCCCUUCAAGGUCUGAGAGCUGCGAGGCUGUGUGUGAGCCCCAGGUAGAUUGGGGGCUAGAAGGCAGGCAGUUGCCUCCUUUCAGAUCAACCCCUGGGAACACUGACCUCGUCUGGCCUUCCCUGCCUUUGGGCAUCUGUGGAGGUUCCCUUACCACCAGCCCUAGCUCUCACAGCUCUUCCCCAUCCACUGUGCCUCAAACAGGCACACGGUCCAAAUAAAACCUGCCAUUCCGGAUUUUGACCGGCAGCUCCCCUUAGGAAAUACCCCUGAAUUGUACCCCUAGAAGGUGGGAGAGGAUAGGCCUCUCUGUUGGGACCAUUCUUUUUUGGGGUGGCUAGUACCUGAAGCCACAUGAGCAGAGUAUCACUCAACCAAGGAGGGUUAUUAAUUCCGCCGACCUCCUCUUGAUUCCCCAAGGUCAUUAGGACCAUGGCCCCACCCUUUCUUAGAAGAGGAACAGGUUAGUGAUAAGUCUAAGAAAUACCAAGAGGGAUUCUUGGAUCCGGGCAGACAAUGAGCCAUGGCUAACGUGCACUGUGCUUAGGUUUCUUUGGGUUCCCUUAUUUAAUUUCUUUAUUUAAAUUCCUUCCCUAAUUUAAGUUCUUUGGGAAAAUCUCGGCUUGUCUCCUCUGGAAGAACCAGGCUGUGUCAAGCUGCGGGCAGUGUGCCGGCAGAACAGCUUCUCCCUGAGGGCUGGAAAGGGUAAUGCCUGCAGGAAUCCAGGUGAGAAAACGCGAAGAAAAAUGCAGGACUCAGAAGUGAGCUGCAAAACCAAUUCCCUCUCUCUCUAUGACUAUCCAUCUCUGCUCGAAUCUUGGUGAUUCUGUGGUCUGUCCGAGCAUGGAGACUGUGCCUUUGGCCUUCUAGAAGGAAACCCACCCCACCUAUCACCUAACCCCUGUCCUACCUCACCCAUUACACUCUAGGAUUGUCCCAGAAAUCUGGGUCAAGGGGGGCACUGCUGCAUUUCCUCCUUCACUCUCAAACUGUGGUCUAUGGGGUCUACAGAGAAAAAGAGGCACUAUGAAGACCUCUGAGGACUUUUUUUUUUCUUCUAAGAAGCCUCCCCUGACUAACUCAGAGGCUGCUUAUCUCCAGGUCACAUCAUGCUUUUAAUUACUUAGUUAAUGGCUGCUGCCCCAGAUUGCAUCGUUGGGGUUCCCCACUGAGCUCUGGCGCCCAACAGAGAGCCUGGCACAUAGUCGGUGUUGAAUGAAUGCUUCCUGGAUGAACAAACGGGAGGUGGAGCAUGGGGAUGACUGCACCGAGAAGUGGAAAAUCCUUCUUCCUGGAUAAACUUGGGAAGUAUGGCCCAGAGAUGAUCUAUUCUCAGAGCUCGGUUUCUUGGUCUCCUUUGGAUUUAAAACGGUGAUGGAAAAGGAAACGGUGGGGGAACUCUGGCCAAGGAUCCCUCCCUUGCACACAAGCCUUCACUGGCCAACUCUCAGCAAGGUGUGUUAAGGAAAUAGAGACUUUGGCUUGAGUACCUCUUCUGCAAGUGAUUCAACUUCUGAAAAAAUAAUGACAGAAAUUUGGCAAAUAUGCGGUGUGUAUAUACAAUAUAUUCUUCCUAUCUAUUUAUCUAUGUCUAACUAGCUAGCUACCUACCUAUCUUACAGUGUUCUCUAAUGUUGUCUCAAAGAAUCUGUCAAUGGCCCAAUGCUUCUCCAUGCUUUUUAUCUUCCUGAGAACAGGUCCAAGAGACUUGCUGACCCAACAGCCAGACGAAGGACCUCCAGUAAUUCGCUUACUGGUGGGCGUGGCUCAGAGAUGCCAGCUCUAGAGCAGAAACAGUCCUGCCCUGAGUCAGGUAACCUGGGUUUGCGCCCCAGCUGGCUGACCUUGGGCAAGUCACUGCCUCUUUCCAGAUGCCGGUGUCCCCAGCAAUAAAACGGGGGAAGGAGGCCUCUGCCCCGAUUUCCCUCCUUCUCUAACUUCCUGAGCUUGCCAGCUGGGACUUGGGGUUUGCCCCAUUUGGGGCAAUGCUGCUACCAUGAUGGAGAAGCCGAGGGCCAACAGGAGUGAGUCAGGGGCCCCUGCCUAUGUGGAAAUCCCAAUCACAGGUUUCUUAAAGAUGAGAAGCACUCCUUCAAGGACAUUUGUCAAGCUGGUAAAGUUCUCCUGAUGGUCUCUUAGAAGCUCUGGUGCUUCUGGCAAUCACUCGACUUGUGAUAAGAAUUCUCUGGAAGGUUGCCUAGGAAUAGAAGGAGGCAGCAGGCAAGGGGAUUUCUCCCGCCCAAGGGGUUUCCUUGGCUUCUGGGGGCUCACAAAGCUGCUUGCAAGUAAGAAUAUUGAGUCCAAGCUGGGAGGAGUGGUGAUUUUGAUAAGAAAAUCAAGAGCCCCAGCCAGGCUCCUAGCUGGCUCCAAAACUUGACUCUGGCUUUGACCUCUGGUAUCGCCGGAAGCCCCGGCCAGCUCAUCCCAUCCCAUUACAGGCUGCCAGGAGUCCCUGAAUGGUCCCCAGCCUCUCAGACUGGCAGAACCAGGGGCUGAGGUUAAGCUCUGGGUUUAGUUCCUUUCUGUCUCGUAGACUCAGGAGCCCCGCUUGGCAGUUUGGGUCCACAUUUUUCAAAGAGAGCCGUGUUUUGUUUUGUUUUGUUUUUUUCUUGAAAUAGCAUUUCUUCUUUUCUUUUUUUUUUUUUAUUGUAUCUCGAUGCUAGAAAAAAAAUGGCACAUAACAGGUAUCCAGAUACAAAUGGACAUUUCCACAAACAUCUUGCAAAACAACAUCAAAGUGAAGAGUACAACCGUCUAUGUUUCAAGAAAUGGUAUCUUGCUCAGAGCGCUUAAUUAGCUUUCCAAAGCCAGCAACAAACCUAGACAAAUCCCCUCCGUGCGGGCAUGGGGGUCCGCUAGGUCCAGAGCCGCCUUCUUGACAAAUCAAACAGGUCGUUGUGGUUAAUAACAUUUGGACACAGAUUUCAAAGCAUGUGUAACAAAGUGAGUUUUUGUUUUCUUUUUGCGUUUGAACAAUAACAGAAAUAAAACCCCAAAGCAAAUAAAAUUUGAAAUGUAAUGUAAAACCAUGGUCCUCUGGGACCUGGCUAGAGUGACCAUGUCUUUUCAGGGGGGUGAUGCCAAAUGCCCUUUUCCAGGAGUUUGAGGAUGAAGGUGAUCAUGAUCAGGGACAGAGAGUAUCAGACAUUACAGAAUGGAGGGGGGGGCCCAAGCCGGUUGCCUUUUGACUGACCCCUUGAGGUCCUUUAAGAUUGAGAUGGUCUCAAAGCACCCUCUUGGCAUUUUAAAAGGGUUGAGAUCACCUCCUUAACUUUGAGUCUAAAAAAAUAACAAAUACGAUUUUAUUUUUGGCCUGGGCUCUGCACAGCUCAUGGUGCCUCCAAACCGGGCAGAAUGGAGGAAUUCCCUCUACGUCAAAGCAACCCUACCCUUGGAUGCAAGCCAAGCUCCGGGUCCAGGAGGGAGAGAAGACUGCUAGCAUCCGGUGAACCACUCAUUUGGUAAGAACAAUCCAGACUGGAUGCCUGGAGUUGGGGAAUGUGUGAAACGCGAGCGCUGGGAGAAAGGGAGGGAAAGCAGGCAUUUUUCUGUCCCCACGGGACCUCUGCCGCAAGGCCAUGCUGGGGAGAGUCAAUGGGAAGAGGUCAUUUGCUAAUGUGCUAAUGAAUGCAGCAUUUUCGACGAGCCAUCCGCAUCAUCGCAUCUCCUAGAGAUGCUCCAAACUGCCUGAGGACAUUUGGUUUCUGAAACAUGGUCACUCUAGUCUCAUCAGCAAGUAAAACAUGGAUACGACGUGGCAAUGAAAAGGAAAGAGGUCACCACAACAGCCGUUGAGCUCGAAUGACAGAAAUGAAGGACGGAGGUCUACACAUCUACUUAGCUCUUGACUUCAGGUUUUAAAAAUUCAGAGUUAACAAAGGAAAAUCCUUCGAAUUCUGACUGGUCAAUAUUCCUGAUGACUUCCUGGUCGGGAGGUGUUAGGACUGGUGGAUGGCGGGUGAAAAACCGGUCGAAGUUCUCAGCAUUUCGCCCACACUAUGAAAGGGGAAGAAAAGAACUUGUGGUAGGUGGAAAAAAAAAACAAAACAAAACCAAAAAACCAAAACCAAAACCAAAAACCCAAACAAAACAGAACCAAACACAAUGGGGCGUGGCUUGCUCCCCUGCCUCAGAGAGGUUUCCAUGAUCAGAAAUGAGAGCAACAUAAAAUCCAAAAUUCUCAUGACCUUUGGUUCAUGACCUGGGGCUCCUGACUCGCAGUUUCUAGGGCUCGUGAGCUGCCCCCGGCAUCCUGGUGACACCAGGAGCUGCAUGGCAAAGGCAGGAGAUGGUGGGACCGCUGGCGUGUGGUAUGCGCCCUCCCCUCACCCCGCCCCCCGCCCCGGCUCCCAAGGAACCAGCCAAGCCCACCUGCUGAAGGAGAUGGGAUUAAGGUACCAUCCGUGUGUCAUGCGCCACCAGAUGCGAAGGAACAAGUCUGUUACACGUCAUCCGGGAGAUCCUAAUAUUUCGCAAUGGAUCCCCCAAAGUGCUCUCCUCUGGCCGCUAGUCAGGAGCUCCGGACGUGGCCAGUUACGGGCUCUAGUCAGUGGACACGGAUCCCGAGACCUGGGUGCGGUGCCUGCCAUGGCUGGUCGCCCGCCAAGCCCUGAUUAGCUGGGGACCCCAUGACGGGGGCAUUAUCCCCACGGGACAGAUGAAGGGACUGAGGCCAGGGGGACGGCGUCAUUUGUUCCAGGUGACGCAGCCACUGAGGAGCACAGCCGGUCACAGAGCUCGGACGUCAGAGCCCGAGCUCCGGGCUCCAUUCUAGAAGAGCGGGUCCCAGGCUGAGGAGGACAGGACCAAAGGAGGCGGGGCUGGCAAGGGAGGCAGGAGUCCAGGAUGGGGAUGAGGAGGUCUCGGGUUCGAAGGACAGUGAGAAGUAGGUUGCGUCAGCCCCCCAUGCAGAGAAAGCGGGACUGUUCCGAAAGACGGCGAUUUCCGUUUGGAUGCCGUGACUCUGAGGGGCCAGGGCGGCUCUGGGAGGUGACCUUGGGACAGGGGGUUAGUAGGACAGAUUAUGGGGUGCAGGAGAGAGGUCUUGAAAAAAAGAAAAGAAAUAAAAAACACUGAAAGGACGGAACAUGGGAAGUGGAAGACAGAUAAAGAGAACAGUAAUAAACACCGCAGAGCCGUUUCCAGGCGACUGGCGCUUGCUUCGGGUUUCGCAUACAUUACCUUCUCGUUUCACAGAACCACCCCGGGAGGUGGGGGAUCUGAUUUCUAGUUGCCCGUGAGACAGUGGCCCCUAAAGCCAAGAGCGGGAAGAGGAGACUCGGGAUGGAGCACUGUCCCCCUCGCUGGGGACUGCGAGGGUCCAGGGAAGGGACCGCCGGAGCUGAAGGACCUCCAGGGGGUCGAGCACGCAAGUCCUGGGAAACGGGCCACGGUGAGGAGGUGAGAAGAUGAAGCGCUGCCUCCAAGCCCGAGUCACGGGCAGAGGGAAGAUUUCGGUCUAAAUGCCAUCUUCUCAGAGAAGCUAUCCGGGAUCACCUCCAGACAGCGUAAUCCUCCCCUCCUGUUAUUCUCCGUCAGAACAGCCUGCUCCCUUCGUGCACAGAAUCACAGCAGAUCAUGUGGCUCGAAUGUCAACGCUGACGGGGGUCCCUCUCCCAGCCCCAUCAAGCCCCAGCUAUACAACCUUUAAGCAGGAGGGAAGACCAGAUUACCAAAUAAUACGACGAGGUCAAAAAAGAGAAGACAAGUCUGCAGGAGGAGGUCACCCUGCAGUUGCGGACAACGACUCCACGAGACAAAUGUCAACAAGGAGUCGUGCGGGCAGAGGCCAGCUCGCACCAAGCCGAAGAAAGAACCGAUUGUAGCAAGUGCACGCAGGCUUGAGGGAAGGGGUCUGUAAGAGGAGAAAGACUUAGCACGUUUAUGAGCCCAGGAGGAUAAACCAGGAGUUGGGGGGGACAUGGACAUCUGCUGGUCUUGUGUACCGAGCAAGCAUUCCCUCUUUUUCUGGGCAUCGAGGCUUGGCUUUUCUUAGAGGACCUGCCCCUUCUCCUCUCUCUGGAGGUCAGACGUGAAAGGGGCCAGGCCUCAUUCCCAGGCAUGGCGAUGGCUUUAGCAAUGGGCAUGUGGCCCUGUAGCUUCCAAUGAGCCUGAGUUCCGGGCUGGUGGGAAUUUUGGGGAAAAAGAAGCUUUUUGGUGGGGGGUGGGGAGGGGCAGAAGUUGCUAAGAUUAUGAGAUGAACUCUGGAACGAGAUUGAGAUGAACUCUGGAAAGCUUUCUGAGAAGGAAGAAUGAAGUCAGUACAGAGGAAAGCUACUGCAGGGGGCAUCGGGAGAUGGAGUCCUUCUGACUUUGAGACCCUGGCUGCAGCCACAGGGUCUGAACGUAACCUAAUAUUUUGAUGAGGAUCUGUGCAAACUUCACACUCUGGAUAGCGGAAAGAACAAACAGAACCAAGUGGGGAGUAGGAGACGUCUACUGCUUAACGAGCCUGCCGGGAGGCGCUCCGAUAGGAUGCGGCCCCGUACCCUGCGCCCAGAGGUCACUCAACGGCUGCUGUCUCCGUCAGCCUCGAAAUCAAAGCCUUAAGGAACGAGCAAGAUUUACAUCUUUUAAAAUCCUGCCAGUGAAGUGUAAAAGGUGUGAAUGUGCUUCUUGUUUGUUGCAAU